rnacentral:rRNA from 1 species
UACAGAGGUCUCAAGCGUUGUUCGGAUUCAUUGGGCGUAAAGGGUGCGUAGGCGGCGCGGUAAGUCGGGUGUGAAAUCUCGGGGCUUAACUCCGAAACUGCAUUCGAUACUGCCGUGCUUGAGGACUGGAGAGGAGACUGGAAUUUACGGUGUAGCGGUGAAAUGCGUAGAUAUCGUAAGGAAGACCAGUGGCGAAGGCAGGUCUCUGGGCUGACACUGACGCUCAUGCACGAAAGCGUGGGGAGCAAACAGG